CUAGUAACGGCGAGUGAAGCGGCAACAGCUCAAAUUUGAAAUCUGGCUUCGGCCCGAGUUGUAAUUUGUAGAGGAAGCUUUUGGCGCGGCACCUACUGAGUCCCCUGGAACGGGGCGCCAGAGAGGGUGAGAGCCCCGUAUAGUGGGAUGCCUAGCCUCUGUAAAGCUCCUUCGACGAGUCGAGUAGUUUGGGAAUGCUGCUCAAAAUGGGAGGUAAAUUUCUUCUAAAGCUAAAUAUUGGCCAGAGACCGAUAGCGCACAAGUAGAGUGAUCGAAAGAUGAAAAGCACUUUGAAAAGAGGGUUAAACAGCACGUGAAAUUGUUGAAAGGGAAGCGCUUGUGACCAGACUUGCGCCCGGUUGAUCAUCCGGUGUUCUCACCGGUGCACUCCUCCGGGCUCAGGCCAGCAUCGGUUCUCGCGGGGGGACAAAGGCCCAGGGAACGUAGCUCUUCCGGGAGUGUUAUAGCCCUGGGUGCAAUGCCCUCGCGGGGACCGAGGUUCGCGCAUCUGCAAGGAUGCUGGCGUAAUGGUCAUCAGCGACCCGUCUUGAAACACGGACCAAGGAGUCAAGGUUUUGCGCGAGUGUUUGGGUGUCAAACCCGCACGCGUAAUGAAAGUGAACGUAGGUGAGAGCUUCGGCGCAUCAUCGACCGAUCCUGAUGUAUUCGGAUGGAUUUGAGUAGGAGCGUUAAGCCUUGGACCCGAAAGAUGGUGAACUAUGCUUGGAUAGGGUGAAGCCAGAGGAAACUCUGGUGGAGGCUCGCAGCGGUUCUGACGUGCAAAUCGAUCGUCAAAUCUGAGCAUGGGGGCGAA
rnacentral:rRNA from 1 species